GACGAGCGCUGGCGGCGUGCUUAACACAUGCAAGUCGAACGGUGAAAGGGAGCUUGCUCCCUGGAUCAGUGGCGAACGGGUGAGUAACACGUGGGCAACCUGCCCCAGACUUCGGGAUAACGCUUCGAAAGGAGUGCUAAUACCGGAUACGAACUCCUUGGGCAUCCUUGGGGUUGGAAAGUUUUUCGGUCUGGGAUGGGCGCGCGGCCUAUAAGCUUGUUGGUGAGGUAACGGCUCACCCAGGGGACGCCGGUUAGCCGGCCUGAGAGGGCGACCGGCCGCACUGGGACUGAGACACGGCCCAUAAUCCUACGGGAGGCAGCAGUGGGGAAUAUUUCGCAAUGAGCGAAAGCCUGACGCAGCAACGCCGCGUGAGGGAUGACGGCCUUCGGGUUGUAAACCUCUUUCAGCAGGGAAGAAGCGAAAGUGACGGUACCUGCAGAAGAAGCACCGGCUAACUACGUGCCAGCCGCCGCCGUAAUAC
rnacentral:rRNA from 1 species